GAGUGCGUAGCUCAGUGGUUAAUAUCUAAAGAGCGUUUGACUGCAGAUCAAAAAUGGUUUAAUGGUCGGGAGUUCGAAAAUUAAUAUCUCCUCGCACUCU
rnacentral:tRNA from 1 species